UAGCGGCCACAUCACAUUAAAAGACAGGUUCUUGUACGAUCUCUGAAGUUAAGCAACGUCGAGCCUGAUCUAUACCAGGCUGGGCGGCCGCUUGGAAAUACCAGGUUCUGUAAG